rnacentral:misc_RNA from 1 species
UGUUUUUCUAUUUGGCUUCCUGAUAUUGGGAUGGCUUAAGGUAUCUUAAAGAUGCAAUGUUUUGCUUCUGAUUAUUGAGUGGUGAAAAUGGGAGAUUUUUUUGCACUUGUUUCUUCCACUCCAUUUAUGAAAAUUUCCUUAUUAAUAUCUCGGUUUGUCAUCGGUAUUGACCAUGGUACCUUAUAUAUGUAAUGCGUUUAGACAGAUGCAUGUUUGUGUCUAAGAGAAAAAAAGAGAGCACAAGUGUUGUAUGGUGAAAAUGUUAUAAGAAACCAAUGAGGUCUGCUUACAAAGAGUUUGUUUGACAUUGGCGAAGUCUGAUUGCCUGUUGAAGGAAAUUGAUGUAACUAGUAACCCUAACCCUAAAUAAGGUUGUGCAUUUGACGAGAAUUGAGAACAGAGAACAAAGAGAGCAAUAGAUCAACUAAAAGGCCUAAUUUUCUGGUCACACAACCCUAUUAUUAGCAUAAAAUCUUACUAGAAUAAAGUUUUGAGCAUAAAGUCCUAAUAGAAUAAGGUAUUGAACAUAAAAUCCUAAUACAAUUAAGUCUAAGAUUUGACCAUUAUAAAUAAAGUAUACCAGAUUCAAGACAAAGAAACCAAUUCCAAAAAAUUAUGUCCUGAUCAAAUUAACAUUGUAAAUGACCAAUAACCCUAAAUUUAAAUUUGUUCUAGUAGUGUGAACAGUGACA